rnacentral:rRNA from 1 species
CUAACAAGGAUUCCCCUAGUAACAGCGAGUGAAGAGGGAAGGGCUCAAAUUUUAAAUCUGCCUCUGUUCCAAGGUCGAGUUGUAAUUUGAAGAAGCGUUCUCUUGGGCUCGCGGCCGGUAGAAGUUCUUUGGAACAGGACAUCAUAGAGGGUGACAAUCCCGUCCGUGACCGGUCGUGCGUUCAUCUACGAUACGCUUUCAAAGAGUCGAGUUGUUUGGGAUUGCAGCUCCAAACGGGUGGUAAACAUCACCUAAGGCUAAAUAUUGGCGAGAGACCGAUAGCGAACAAGUACCGUGAGGGAAAGAUGAAAAGAACUUUGAAAAGAGAGUUAAACAGUACGUGAAAUUGUUGAAAGGGAAACGAUUGAAGUCAGUCGUGCUGGCGCGAAAUCAACCCUCUCGUCUUGAGAUCACAUGGCGCGACGAGCCUCAAAACCGUCACGAAGCGUGAGCGCUUGAUGAAAAGGUGCACUUUCGUGUCAGCUGGUUAACACCAAUUUCGAUCGUCAUAAAAAGGCUGGAGGGAUGUGGCUCCUUCGGGAGUGUUAUAACCUUUAGCGGAAUGUGGUGGUUGGGAUUGAGGAUUGCAACGAAUACCUUUAGGGCUGUUCCACCUGGCUUCUCAUUGGUAUCCUGGUGACGACAGCUUGCUGACGUCGUUAGGAUCAGCUUCUGAACAGGCUAGAGUGUGAGCAAAUUCGUUAAGGAUGU